AGCGAACGCUGGCGGCAGGCCUAACACAUGCAAGUCGAACGGAUCCUUCGGGAUUAGUGGCGGACGGGUGAGUAACACGUGGGAACGUGCCUUUUGGUUCGGAACAACUCAGGGAAACUUGAGCUAAUACCGGAUAAGCCUUUCGAGGGAAAGAUUUAUCGCCAUUAGAGCGGCCCGCGUAGGAUUAGCUAGUUGGUGGGGUAAAGGCCCACCAAGGCUACGAUCCUUAGCUGGUCUGAGAGGAUGAUCAGCCACAUUGGGACUGAGA
rnacentral:rRNA from 1 species